UACUUGGAUAACUGUGGUAAUUCUAGAGCUAAUACACGCGGAAUGGGUGCAUUUAUUAGAACAAAACCAAUCUUGGUGAAUCUGAAUAACUAAUGGUCUUUGCACCGGCGACGAAUCCUUCAAGUGUCUGCCUUAUCAACUUUCGAUGGUAGUUUAUACGACUACCAUGGUUGUAACGGGUAACGGAAAAUCAGGGUUUGAUUCCGGAGAGGGCGCCUGAGAAAUGGCGACCACUUCUAAGGAAGGCAGCAGGCGCGUAACUUACCCACUCUCAGAGAGGAGGUAGUGACGAAAAAUAUCGAGCUGGUGGUCGUUAGCAUCGGAAUGAGAACAACCUAAACAUGUUAUCGAGUAACUAGCAGAGGGCAAGUCUGGUGCCAGCAGCCGCGGUAAUUCCAGCUCUGCAAGUGUAUAUCAAUGUUGCUGUGGUUAAAAAGCUCGUAGUUGGAUCUGCCUAGGGCCCGGUCCAGCCUUUGGCUGUGCAGCUGGUUUGGCCUCAAUGCCCUUAACCGGGUGUUUUGGUUGACUAGCGAGUUUACUUUGAAAAAAUUAGAGUGCUCAAAACAGGCGUCUCGCCUGAAUAGUUCUGCAUGGAAUAAUGGAAGAGGAGGUUCUGUUUUGUUGGUUUUAGGAGCACGAGGUAAUGAUUAAGAGAAACAGACGGGGGCAUUUGUAUUCCGACGUUAGAGGUGAAAUUCUUGGA
rnacentral:rRNA from 1 species